UACGUAGGGUGCAGGCGUUAAUCGGAAUUACUGGGCGUAAAGCGUGCGCAGGCGGCUUCGCAAGUCAGACGUGAAAUCCCCGGGCUUAACCUGGGAAUGGCGUUUGAAACUACGGAGCUGGAGUGUGGCAGAGGGAGGUAGAAUUCCGCGUGUAGCGGUGAAAUGCGUAGAUAUGUGGAGGAAUACCGAUGGCGAAGGCAGCCUCCUGGGCCAACACUGACGCUCAUGCACGAAAGCGUGGGGAGCAAACAGG
rnacentral:rRNA from 1 species